rnacentral:rRNA from 1 species
CCUACGGGGUGCAGCAGUGGGGAAUAUUGGGCAAUGGGCGCAAGCCUGACCCAGCAACGCCGCGUGAAGGAAGAAGGCCCUCGGGUUGUAAACUUCUUUUAUUCGGGACGAAACAAAUGACGGUACCGAAUGAAUAAGCCACGGCUAACUACGUGCCAGCAGCCGCGGUAAUACGUAGGUGGCAAGCGUUAUCCGGAUUUACUGGGUGUAAAGGGCGUGUAGGCGGGAGAGCAAGCGAGACGUGAAAUUCCAGGGCUCAACCCUGGGACUGCGUUAGAAACUGUGUGUCUUGAGUGCUGGAGAGGAAGGCGGAAUUCCGAGUGUAGCGGUGAAAUGCGUAGAUAUAAGGAGGAACACCAGUGGCGAAGGCGGCCUGCUGGACAGUAACUGACGCUGAGGCGCGAAAGCGUGGGGAGCGAACAGGAUUAGAUACCCUGGUAGUC